AGUAUUCUCAUUAGUUCGAAUCAUUCUAAUCAAAAUUACAAAAUUUUAAAGUCCUUUUUUUACAUUCAUUUUGUUAGCAAUGUAUUUCGGGUUGGAGGGUCACUAUUACGAAGUCCAAGUCAUUGAUCGCGGCAGAAAUCCAAACAAGCAUUCCCAAGACCUCAACUGUACAUUGCCCGCCAUCUUGGAGUUUCCCAAUCUAAUGAGAAAGAAAAGCGUCGGAUUGACCAUCAGUGUUUUCCUAAUCAGCAUUUAUCUCUUCGUAGGCCUGGCUAUCGUUUGUGACAAUUAUUUAGUUCCCGCCAUGGAGCGUCUUUGCUUUUCCCUGCGCAUGACGUACGAUGUGGCGGGGGCCACUUUCCUGGCAGCCGCCACUUCGGCACCGGAACUCUUCGUCAACUUUAUAGGAACUUUCGUCACCCAUGGCGAUAUUGGGAUCGGCACCAUUGUCGGCUCUUCCGUUUUCAAUGUCCUGGUAAUUGCCGCUAUUUGUGGCAUCCUUACACCACCGAGCCAGCUUGAUUGGUGGCCAGUGACGAGAGAUUGUAUUUGGUAUAUCAUAGCCAUUGCCAUUCUGACGGCUACUCUCUGGGACUCUCUGGUCCUGUGGUACGAGUCCAUGGUGCUACUGAUCAUGUACAUAUUUUAUCUGAUCGCCCUCAUCCUGGAUCGUAGGAUUCAGGGCUCUAUUCGCAAAAUGCACGUAGAAUCCGAGCUAAUGGACGAGGAUCCGAUGGAGCGAGAGGAGGAGCCAUUGAAAUCCUUUCGAGAUCACGUUUGCGGAAAACCGGAGCCAGGAGCUCAUUGCUGGGCCUGGAUCUGGUGGGCCUUCAAGUAUCCAUUUAUUCUGAUCUUUGCACUAACCAUACCCAGUGUGCGAGGCAUUUAUUUUCUGUCCAUGAUCAUGUCCGUAAUUUGGAUUAGCAUCAUAUCCUAUAUGUUGUCCUGGUUCCUAACGAUCGUGGGCUAUAACCUGGGCAUACCGGACUCUAUAAUGGGUCUAACGAUAUUGGCAGCCGGUACUAGUGUGCCCGAAGUGGCCUCCUCCUAUAUUGUCUCCAAAAAGGGAUAUGGAUCUAUGGCCAUUUGUAAUGCUAUCGGAUCUAAUACCAUUGAUAUUUUAAUAUGUCUGGGCGUUCCCUGGUUCCUGAAGAAUCUCAUCUCGAUGGACCAUGUCUAUAUAGACUCUACAGCUAUAAUGUUCACCACUGGCAUGCUAUUUUGCACGGUAUUCGUGAUCUAUUCAACAUUUCUGUGCACCAGAUUCGUGAUGGGAAAGCCACUCGGUUGGAUCUGUUUGAUCGCCUAUAUCCUGUUCCUGGCGGUGGCUUGUACUUUGGAAGUAGUACUCAACGAUAAUGUCUACUGUGACAUGAGAGAGCAAAAGUAUGCCUCACUUCUGAACAAAUUGUUCGAUUCGGAUCCAAAAUUGCUAAAAUAAUAGUGGGAAAUAUAGUGAGAUGGGCCGUGGACGAACCUAUAUUCACUUCAUGCGCAUCCCAUCACAUUUCUGACUAUUUUAUUUAGAAUGUUUAGUCGAAAAAUCAUUAAUAAAGAAAUAAGUUACAAAGGCAAAUGGCCAAGUUAAUUGAUUCGUUGGGCAGGUGGAAAAAAAAUGCCUUGGAAAAAUAAUGGCAAAUCUAUAUAAAAUCUAUCGCUGAUCAGACGAAAAAGCUAUCAGUAAGGUGGUGACGUCAAUUAGACCAUGUUAUGACAUCAAGCAGCUACAGAUAC